AGUGAACGCUGGCGGUAGGCCUAACACAUGCGAGUCGAACGGCAGCACAGUAAGAGCUUGCUCUUACGGGUGGCGAGUGGCGGACGGGUGAGGAAUACAUCGGAAUCUACUUUUUCGUGGGGGAUAACGUAGGGAAACUUACGCUAAUACCGCAUACGACCUACGGGUGAAAGCAGGGGAUCUUCGGACCUUGCGCGAUUGAAUGAGCCGAUGUCGGAUUAGCUAGUUGGCGGGGUAAAGGCCCACCAAGGCGACGAUCCGUAGCUGGUCUGAGAGGAUGAUCAGCCACACUGGAACUGAGACACGGUCCAGACUCCUACGGGAGGCAGCAGUGGGGAAUAUUGGACAAUGGGCGCAAGCCUGAUCCAGCCAUACCGCGUGGGUGAAGAAGGCCUUCGGGUUGUAAAGCCCUUUUGUUGGGAAAGAAAGGCAGCAGGUUAAUACCCCGCUGUUCUGACGGUACCCAAAGAAUAAGCACCGGCUAACUUCGUG
rnacentral:rRNA from 1 species